AAACCGUUGAAAGGGAAGCGAAUGGAGUUAGCAAUUCGCCCUGCCAGAUUCAGUUGCUCGCGCUUCGCGACGAGCGCGCUCUCGAUCCGCAUGGACGAGACGUGCUCGGGUGCGACGUGUGGACGGCGCACUUCUGGCGGGCGAGCGUCAGCGUCGGUCGUCGACGGGCGAUAAGGUCGCAAGGAAGGUAGACGUGCCUUCGGGCGCGUUGUUAAUACUACUGGCGUCCUUAUUCCUCGACGGCCACGGUGCCUUCUUCUCGAGGACACGUGCGUGGGUGGGGAGUCGCGUGAUCGGGCCGGCGUGUGGACUCCGGCGGACAGCGCGCCUGUGCGCUCUAACUGUGGUCGGUGGCUCUCACGAUGCUCUCACACAAUGCGUCUAAAAUACUGACAACACUAUAGCUCCCUCCGACCCCCCUUGUGACACGGACAAAGGAGUCUAACAUGUGCGCACGUCUCUGGGGGAUAUAAACCCGCGGGCGCAAUGAAAGUAAAGAUCGUCCUAGACAAUUGAGGUGAGAAAAGCGCUCCUCGGGGCGCGCUGCGUCGUCGACCGACCUAUUCUGCUCUCAUAUAGGAUAGAGUAGAAGCGUAUCUGUUCUGACCCGACCGAUAGUGAACUAUGCCUGAAUAGGGUGAAGCCA
rnacentral:rRNA from 1 species